UACGGGGGGGGCAAGCGUUGUUCGGAAUUACUGGGCGUAAAGGGCUCGUAGGCGGCCAACUAAGUCAGACGUGAAAUCCCUCGGCUUAACCGGGGAACUGCGUCUGAUACUGGAUGGCUUGAGGUUGGGAGAGGGAUGCGGAAUUCCAGGUGUAGCGGUGAAAUGCGUAGAUAUCUGGAGGAACACCGGUGGCGAAGGCGGCGUUCUGGACUGCAACUGACACUGAGGAACGAAAGCCAGGGGAGCAAACGGG
rnacentral:rRNA from 1 species